rnacentral:lncRNA from 1 species
AUUGACAAUGAAUGAAGAUAGGGAAAGGUGUAUUUUAAAAUGUGGAUGAGAUGAUCCUUUUAAUUUAGGGAUAAUUAUAUAUGACUGUGACACCCUAAUAGGCCCACAUCGGGUGGGAAAGGGGUUGUCAUUGGGUUUAUAAGAGACUUAGACACUAGUAAUAAUAACUGGGCUUAAGCAUUUUGGGCUGUGGUUGGGCCCAACGAGUUAUUAUUGCUAGUGGGCUGGGUUGUUACAAUGACUCCUCACAAUGAUACCAAAUAGUAAAUAUAUUUUUAUAAAACUUAAGAUAUCAGGUUUAUUCCUUUAAAAGUCCUAUUGUCUGCAAAGAUAUAUCUUUCUGCUAUCAAAAUUUAGAUAACCAUAAGUUAAAAAAAUUACUACAAUUAUUUAAGGGGUUUUUUUUAUCCUUUAUAU